AACGUAGGAGGCGAGCGUUAUCCGGAGUUACUGGGCGUAAAGAGCGUGUAGGCGGGUACGCAAGUUUGGCGUGAAAGCUCCCGGCUAAACUGGGAGAGUGCGCUGAAGACUGCGUGUCUAGAGGCGAGUAGAGGGACGUGGAAUUCCGGGUGUAGUGGUGAAAUGCGUAGAUAUGUGGAGGAAUGCCGAUGGCGAAGGCAGCCUCCUGGGCCAACACUGACGCUCAUGCACGAAAGCGUGGGGAGCAAACAGG
rnacentral:rRNA from 1 species